rnacentral:rRNA from 1 species
GACGAACGCUGGCGGCGUGCUUAACACAUGCAAGUCGAACGGGGCGAAGUGAUAGCUUGCUAUUAUGGAGCCUAGUGGCAAACGGGUGAGUAACGCGUAGGCAACCUGCCCUUCAGAUGGGGGACAACACCUCGAAAGGGGUGCUAAUACCGAAUGACGUUUCCUGGUCGCAUGACUUGGAAACCAAAGGCCGGGCAACCGGUCACUGAAGGAUGGGCCUGCGUCUGAUUAGCUAGUUGGUGGGUAACGGCCCGACCAAGGCGACGAUCAGUAGCCGGUCUGAGAGGAUGAACGGCCACAUUGGGACUGAGACACGGCCCAAACUCCUACGGGAGGCAGCAGUGGGGGAUAUUGCACAAUGGAGGAAACUCUGAUGCAGCGACGCCGCGUGAGUGAAGAGUAUUUCGGUAUGUAAAGCUCUAUCAGCAGGGAAGAUAAAUGACAGUACCUGACCAAGAAGCCCCGG